rnacentral:rRNA from 1 species
UACUAGAGUAGCACUCGCAUAUCAAUAAGCGGAGGAAAAGAAACUAACAAGGAUUCCCCUAGUAACGGCGAGUGAAGCGGGAAGAGCUCAAAUUUGAAAUCUUAAAGGGUUUCCCUUUACGAAUUGUAGUUUAAAGAAGUGUUUUCUGUUGAGGUUUUGGUAAAAGUUCUUUGGAAUAGGACAUCAUAGAGGGUGAGAAUCCCGUAUUUGACCUUUACUUUCAACUUUGUGAUACACUUUCAAAGAGUCGGAUUGUUUGGGAAUGCAGUCCAAAAUGGGUGGUAAAUUUCAUCUAAAGCUAAAUAUUGGCGAGAGACCGAUAGCGAACAAGUACCGUGAGGGAAAGAUGAAAAGAACUUUGAAAAGAGAGUUAAACAGUACGUGAAAUUGUCAAAAGGGAAGCGUUUGACACCAGUGUUGUUUUUCUGAAAAUCAAUUAAAGAACUGUUUAUGCUAAGUUGUUUAGACUUUAUCAACUAUCUGUUUAGUUUUGAGCUUUUCUUUAAUGCACUUUUCAGUUAACAAGUCAACAUCAAUUUCUUUUGCUGUAAAAAAGCUUGAGGAGGUGGCUUGAGAUUCGUCUUAAGUGUUUAUAGCCUCUUGCCUAUGCAGUCGGAGAGAUUGAGGUCUGCAGCGUAGAUCCUUCGGGGCUAAAUGCAUUUGUGCUAAGUUAUAGCAUUUUAUAGACAACUUGUUGACUAUGAUUUGUCUUGUAGCUUACUCGCUUAUGUUAUUUUACCUACGCUUAGGAUGUUGAAGCCAUCGUAUCGCGCGUGCUUGAUCUAUACAUGGCUCUGUGCAUAUCAAUAAGCGGAGGAAAAGUCAAUACCUACGCUUAGGAUGUUGAUCUCUCACAGUCGAGC